rnacentral:rRNA from 1 species
CUUGACAAACUUAUAAGAGGUCCAGCCUGCCCAGUGACUCUGUUCAACGGCCGCGGUAUCCUAACCGUGCGAAGGUAGCGUAAUCACUUGUUCUUUAAAUGAGGACUAGUAUGAAUGGCACCACGAAGGUUAUACUGUCUCCUUUUUCUAAUCAGUGAAACUAAUCUUCCCGUGAAGAAGCGGGAAUAAAAAUAUAAGACGAGAAGACCCUAUGGAGCUUUAAACAAAUAUACACCUGCCUCUUCACUAAAAAUUUCAGAAGACAAGUAAUUACCCAGGCAUUUUGAUAUAGCGUUUUAGGUUGGGGUGACCACGGAGCAAAAAAAAACCUCCGCAGCGAACGGGAGUAUUCCCUAAACCAAGGGCCACAACCCCAAGUAUUGAUAAAUCAACACUAAUUGACCCAAUAAAUUUGAUCAAUGAAC